rnacentral:snoRNA from 14 species
CCAUGCAUCUUUUGCGACAGACAACGUUUAUAUAUUAAACAAAUGUCUUACUAUAGAUGCUAUAGUAAAUAUCUCUAUCCGUAUUGAACCACAAAUCAAUAGAAGGUUUAAUUUAUUUGAGAUGAAAUCU